UACUACUGCCAUGUCACCCUGAAUGUGCCCGAUCCCGUCUAAUCUCGGAAGCUAAGCAGGUUCAGGCCUGGUUAGUACUUGGAUGAGAGACCACAUAGGACUACUAGAUGCUGUAGGUG
rnacentral:rRNA from 1 species